UCUCUCUCUCUCUCUUAUUUCAAAUAGUCCAGCCAUUGAAAUUCUCUCUCUAAUCGAAAUCAACCUCCUUUCUCUCUCUAUCUCAUCGCCGAAGCACCAUCAACCCCAUAGCUCUCCACCCCUCUGUCAUUGAAAUCUCAUCCCCCACCUCCCUCUUUCUCAUCGAAAGGUAGCUCAGGGAAAGAUUAAAUUCAUUUCAAGUUGAACAAAGAUAAAAAUAAGAAAAUGAUUACAUUGUCAACAGCCUGUCGUUGGAAUUCUUUAUUCUCCAUCUCUUGAAUGCAAGGUACAUCUUAACCAUUGUAUAAUGCUUAGAGAAUAAACACAAGAUUGUAGCACAUAAAAAUAUACCUGAUAUGCAUCACUUGUAGUACAUUUGAUAUACAUCAAUAAAAGUAAAUUACAUUUUAAUUGCAUCCUCCUUUAAAUAGCAAUCACAAUAUAUAUUAUUUAGUAGAAUAUAUACAUUUGAAUAUUGUUUAUAUUAACUCUAUUCCAUUAGCAGUAACUAUACGAAUUACACAUAUAAUAGACAUAGAAAAUAUGUAUGAUAAUAACAUGAUGGCCAUUUUUAGUACACCAGAUAUAGUUUUAUAGGAGGACGAAGCAAUGGCGAUGAUUAUAUUUCACUCGAUG
rnacentral:lncRNA from 1 species